UUAAGUUAUUAAGGGCGCACGGUGGAUGCCUUGGCACUAGAAGCCAAUGAAGGACGUUACUAACGACGAUAUGCUUUGGGGAGCUGUAAGUAAGCUUUGAUCCAGAGAUUUCCGAAUGGGGAAACCCAGCAUGAGUUAUGUCAUGUUAUCGAUAUGUGAAUACAUAGCAUAUCAGAAGGCACACCCGGAGAACUGAAACAUCUUAGUACCCGGAGGAAGAGAAAGAAAAUUCGAUUCCCUUAGUAGCGGCGAGCGAAACGGGAAGAGCCCAAACCAACAAGCUUGCUUGUUGGGGUUGUAGGACACUCUAUACGGAGUUAUAAAGGACGACAUUAGACGAAUCAUCUGGAAAGAUGAAUCAAAGAAGGUAAUAAUCCUGUAGUCGAAAAUGUUGUCUCUCUUGAGUGGAUCCUGAGUACGACGGAGCACGUGAAAUUCCGUCGGAAUCUGGGAGGACCAUCUCCUAAGGCUAAAUACUCUCUAGUGACCGAUAGUGAACCAGUACCGUGAGGGAAAGGUGAAAAGCACCCCGGAAGGGGAGUGAAAUAGAACCUGAAACCGUGUGCUUACAAGUAGUCAGAGCCCGUUAAUGGGUGAUGGCGUGCCUUUUGUAGAAUGAACCGGCGAGUUACGAUUUGAUGCAAGGUUAAGCAGUAAAUGUGGAGCCGUAGCGAAAGCGAGUCUGAAUAGGGCGUUUAGUAUUUGGUCGUAGACCCGAAACCAGGUGAUCUACCCUUGGUCAGGUUGAAGUUCAGGUAACACUGAAUGGAGGACCGAACCGACUUACGUUGAAAAGUGAGCGGAUGAACUGAGGGUAGCGGAGAAAUUCCAAUCGAACCUGGAGAUAGCUGGUUCUCUCCGAAAUAGCUUUAGGGCUAGCCUCAAGUGAUGAUUAUUGGAGGUAGAGCACUGUUUGGACGAGGGGCCCCUCUCGGGUUACCGAAUUCAGACAAACUCCGAAUGCCAAUUAAUUUAACUUGGGAGUCAGAACAUGGGUGAUAAGGUCCGUGUUCGAAAGGGAAACAGCCCAGACCACCAGCUAAGGUCCCAAAAUAUAUGUUAAGUGGAAAAGGAUGUGGCGUUGCCCAGACAACUAGGAUGUUGGCUUAGAAGCAGCCAUCAUUUAAAGAGUGCGUAAUAGCUCACUAGUCGAGUGACACUGCGCCGAAAAUGUACCGGGGCUAAACAUAUUACCGAAGCUGUGGAUUGUCCUUUGGACAAUGGUAGGAGAGCGUUCUAAGGGCGUUGAAGCAUGAUCGUAAGGACAUGUGGAGCGCUUAGAAGUGAGAAUGCCGGUGUGAGUAGCGAAAGACGGGUGAGAAUCCCGUCCACCGAUUGACUAAGGUUUCCAGAGGAAGGCUCGUCCGCUCUGGGUUAGUCGGGUCCUAAGCUGAGGCCGACAGGCGUAGGCGAUGGAUAACAGGUUGAUAUUCCUGUACCACCUAUAAUCGUUUUAAUCGAUGGGGGGACGCAGUAGGAUAGGCGAAGCGUGCGAUUGGAUUGCACGUCUAAGCAGUAAGGCUGAGUAUUAGGCAAAUCCGGUACUCGUUAAGGCUGAGCUGUGAUGGGGAGAAGACAUUGUGUCUUCGAGUCGUUGAUUUCACACUGCCGAGAAAAGCCUCUAGAUAGAAAAUAGGUGCCCGUACCGCAAACCGACACAGGUAGUCAAGAUGAGAAUUCUAAGGUGAGCGAGCGAACUCUCGUUAAGGAACUCGGCAAAAUGACCCCGUAACUUCGGGAGAAGGGGUGCUCUUUAGGGUUAACGCCCAGAAGAGCCGCAGUGAAUAGGCCCAAGCGACUGUUUAUCAAAAACACAGGUCUCUGCUAAACCGUAAGGUGAUGUAUAGGGGCUGACGCCUGCCCGGUGCUGGAAGGUUAAGAGGAGUGGUUAGCUUCUGCGAAGCUACGAAUCGAAGCCCCAGUAAACGGCGGCCGUAACUAUAACGGUCCUAAGGUAGCGAAAUUCCUUGUCGGGUAAGUUCCGACCCGCACGAAAGGCGUAACGAUUUGGGCACUGUCUCAACGAGAGACUCGGUGAAAUCAUAGUACCUGUGAAGAUGCAGGUUACCCGCGACAGGACGGAAAGACCCCGUGGAGCUUUACUGUAGCCUGAUAUUGAAAUUCGGCACAGCUUGUACAGGAUAGGUAGGAGCCUUUGAAACGUGAGCGCUAGCUUACGUGGAGGCGCUGGUGGGAUACUACCCUAGCUGUGUUGGCUUUCUAACCCGCACCACUUAUCGUGGUGGGAGACAGUGUCAGGCGGGCAGUUUGACUGGGGCGGUCGCCUCCUAAAAGGUAACGGAGGCGCUCAAAGGUUCCCUCAGAAUGGUUGGAAAUCAUUCAUAGAGUGUAAAGGCAUAAGGGAGCUUGACUGCGAGACCUACAAGUCGAGCAGGGUCGAAAGACGGACUUAGUGAUCCGGUGGUUCCGCAUGGAAGGGCCAUCGCUCAACGGAUAAAAGCUACCCCGGGGAUAACAGGCUUAUCUCCCCCAAGAGUUCACAUCGACGGGGAGGUUUGGCACCUCGAUGUCGGCUCAUCGCAUCCUGGGGCUGUAGUCGGUCCCAAGGGUUGGGCUGUUCGCCCAUUAAAGCGGUACGCGAGCUGGGUUCAGAACGUCGUGAGACAGUUCGGUCCCUAUCCGUCGUGGGCGUAGGAAAUUUGAGAGGAGCUGUCCUUAGUACGAGAGGACCGGGAUGGACAUACCUCUGGUGUACCAGUUGUCGUGCCAACGGCAUAGCUGGGUAGCUAUGUGUGGACGGGAUAAGUGCUGAAAGCAUCUAAGCAUGAAGCCCCCCUCAAGAUGAGAUUUCCCAACUUCGGUUAUAAGAUCCCUCAAAGAUGAUGAGGUUAAUAGGUUCGAGGUGGAAGCAUGGUGACAUGUGGAGCUGACGAAUACUAAUCGAUCGAAGACUUAAUCAA
rnacentral:rRNA from 1 species